AUACGGAGGGGGCUAGCGUUGUUCGGAAUUACUGGGCGUAAAGCGCGCGUAGGCGGCUUAUCAAGUUAGGCGUGAAAGGCCUGGGCUCAACCCGGGAACUGCGCUUAAUACUGGUAGACUCGAGUCCGGGAGAGGGUGGCGGAAUUCCCAGUGUAGAGGUGAAAUUCGUAGAUAUUGGGAAGAACACCAGUGGCGAAGGCGGCCACCUGGCCCGGUACUGACGCUGAGGUGCGAAAGCGUGGGGAGCAAACAGGAUUAGAAACCCCAGUAGUCC
rnacentral:rRNA from 1 species